CCGCCCCUUAGAGGAAAAGCCACGAGUUGCUGUUGUGCUGCAGGAGAGAAAGGGAGAAAGAAAGCGUGCGACAGGGAGUGGGAGCCCCAAGUCAAGAGGAGCCCCACAGAGGCAGCCCUGGACUUCGGGACCACAGAGGUGCUGAGUGCUGCCCGAUUCUGGAUCCCACUCUGCUUAGCUCAGAACUUUGUCAGCGAGCAAGAACAAUGCCAGGAGGUCUGGAGAAAACGUGUCAUCAGUGCAUUUCUAAAAUCGCCAGCAAUGGGACAUCUCUAAGGGCCACCCCCCUUUCAUCCCUGGAGCACACCUACUGCUGUGGGGGCCAG
rnacentral:lncRNA from 1 species